CUGAGAAACUGCCCUUUGGGUAGAUCUCCCACCCUUUGUUUACAUUACCUUUGUUGCUUUGGCAGGCCCGUCUUUGGACCACCGGCUUAGGCUGGUCUGUGCCUGCCAGAGGAUCUUAAACUCUUGAUUUUUGUAUUGUCCGAGUAAAAUUAUAAUUUUUA
rnacentral:misc_RNA from 1 species